rnacentral:lncRNA from 1 species
CAGGCAGCAGCACUGCCAGGCCUCCCGGCGAUGUCCCAUCUAGUUUUUUUCCUGCUUUUUGGAGCCUCACUUCUCCCCAGCUCAGAAGGUGGCGAGAACUCCACAGUCAGACAUCGCAAUGCCCGGUUCUUGCACUUAAUAUCUGUCAAACUUAAUCCUGCACCUAGCAAAAUUCAUAACCCAUCUCACCUGGACUCACCCGCAACACAGACCUGCCGAAGCCUGUGCCAGGAAGGCUGGAUUAGUUACAAAGGCCGCUGUUACAUGUUUGUUCAAAAGAGAAUGACGUGGUCUCAAGCUGAGAAGAGUUGUUGGACUAAAAGAGAAGGAAGUCACCUAACUAGCAUCACCAGUGCAGCCGAGAAUGAAUUCCUCCAUAAACUUGCUCAGAGACAAAAGGAAACCCAAUUCUGGACAGGCGGAACUUACCAAAAGGGGUUAUCUUUGAAAUGGACUGACGGAUCUCUGACAACUUUCAUUCAGAGGCCUCUGUCAUCCCUUCUCACAUCUGUCAGAAGACUAGUUAACAACUUGUUAAACAUUAAAUUUUGCUUGACACUGGAUAUUGGAGGCCAGGGCGAAUGGGGCAGCUCUGCUUGCAGCAAGAGGCUACCAUCCAUAUGCGUUUACAGACCAGACCCAACGCACCUGUCACUGUACCACUGAUGAAAUCUAACUGGCUGCCACUGUGCUUCGGAUAGAGUUCAGCUGUAGUCCAUUUGUGCAGAAAAAUCUUUUGCAUGGAAGAAUCAAGUUCUUAUCUUAAAAAAGCAGAGCUAUUAUAGCACAACACUUUUCUGUUCUGUUUGCAUUAUUGUAGCAACGUUCUUGUAGACUACAUUUCAAAUGAUGCUAUAAAAAUAAGUUCUGAUUUGAUUUGAAUACUUGAUGAAAAAAGCAUUUAGCUUUUCCACAGGGUUUUCAAGAAUAUUCAUAAGAGCUCUUUAAUUAUUAAAUAAUUACAAAUCACUCAUUAAAACAUUAUUCAUUUCACCAUUUAAUCAUGUCAAGUCAUACAUUUUCAGUCCUGGAAUUUUUCCUUUCUUAGUGUCAGA